rnacentral:rRNA from 1 species
CCUACGGGAGGCAGCAGUGGGGAAUAUUGCACAAUGGGCGGAAGCCUGAUGCAGCAACGCCGCGUGCGGGAUGACGGCCUUCGGGUUGUAAACCGCUUUCGCCUGUGACGAAGCGUGAGUGACGGUAAUGGGUAAAGAAGCACCGGCUAACUACGUGCCAGCAGCCGCGGUGAUACGUAGGGUGCGAGCGUUGUCCGGAUUUAUUGGGCGUAAAGGGCUCGUAGGUGGUUGAUCGCGUCGGAAGUGUAAUCUUGGGGCUUAACCCUGAGCGUGCUUUCGAUACGGGUUGACUUGAGGAAGGUAGGGGAGAAUGGAAUUCCUGGUGGAGCGGUGGAAUGCACAGAUAUCAGGAGGAACACCAGUGGCGAAGGCGGUUCUCUGGGCCUUUCCUGACGCUGAGGAGCGAAAGCGUGGGGAGCGAACAGGCUUAGAUACCCUGGUAGUCCACGCUGUAAACGGUGGGUACUAGGUGUGGGGUCCAUUCCACGGGUUCCGUGCCGUAGCUAACGCUUUAAGUACCCGCCUGGGGAGGUACGGCCGCGAGACGAACUACGAAAGAAGUAGACGCGNGAGAACGUGCCGACGGACGACGACGAGGGAGGAGG